GCGGAGCGCCGUUCCGGGACGUUGUCACGGACGCUCCGCUGUCGCCGGGCUGUCGGCGCGGAGCCGCUCGCAUUGUAGUUGAGAUGACUUGCACUUCCUGCCAAGAAAUAAAGAUAUAAAAUCUUAAAAGUUAUCAGAAUAAAAGAACAUACAGAUCUGAUCUGAUGCAGACCUGUGGUAGAAUCAAUAUUCUGCUGAGUAUCAAGAUUGUUCUUUGACUAGCCAUACUAAAGGAGAAGAGUACGUUCAUACAGCUUGCUAGUGUACUUCAGAGAGAAUAAAACUGAGGAUUAAGAACUGAUGGAACAG